rnacentral:rRNA from 1 species
AGGGCGUACGGCGAAUGCCUGGCCACUCGAAACUGAAGAAGGACGCGCCAAACUGCGAAAAGCUCCGUGAAGCUGUAAGGAAGCGAAGAAGCGGAGGUGUCCGAAUGGGGGAACCCGGCAGCAGACAUGAGCUGUCAUCUGCAGGUGAAUACAUGGCCUGCAAGAGAGGUACCCGGCGAACUGAAACAUCUAAGUAGCCGGAGGAAAAGAAAACAACAGUGAUUCCCUGAGUAGCGGCGAGCGAAAGGGGAGAAGCCCAAACCGGUCCAAGGACCGGGGUUGAAGGACCAUGAUAUGGCAAGAGAGAGGAUAGAAGAACGGGAUCGAAAGCCCGGCCGAAGAAGGUGCAAGCCCUGUAAUUGAAAUCCGAUUGAAGCCUAAUGGGAUCCUGAGUACGGCGAGACACGAGGAAUCUUGUCGGAAGCAGGCGGGACCAUCCGCCAAGGCUAAAUAUAAACGAGUGAGCGAUAGUGAACCAGUACCGUGAGGGAAAGGUGAAAAGAACCGCGGGAGCGGAGUGAAAGAGAACCUGAAACCGUAUGCCUACAAGAAGUCAGAGCCCGUUAAGGGGUGAUGGCGUGCCUUUUGUAGAAUGAACCGGCGAGUUGCGACAGACUGCGAGGUUAAGGAGGAAAGACCGGAGCCGAAGCGAAAGCGAGUCUUAAUAGGGCGAAAGUAGGAUGUUGCAGACCCGAAACCGGGUGAUCUAGCCAUGAGCAGGUUGAAGCUUGGGUAAAACCAGGUGGAGGACCGAACCAGGGUCUGUUGAAAAAGACUUGGAUGACUUGUGGCUAGGGGUGAAAUUCCAAUCGAACCCGGAGAUAGCUGGUUCUCCCCGAAAUAGCUUUAGGGCUAGCGUCGGAAAGAACCUUAGUGAAGGUAGAGCACUGAAUGUGUGAUGGCCCCAUCCCGGGGUACUGAAUACAAUCAAACUGCGAAUGUCAUUAAGAAUGUCCGGCAGUCAGACUGUGAGUGAUAAGGUCCAUGGUCAAGAGGGAAACAGCCCAGACCGCCAGUUAAGGUCCCAAAAUACAGGCUAAGUGGAAAAGGAUGUGGGGAUGCCCAGACAACUAGGAGGUUGGCUCAGAAGCAGCCAUCCUUUAAAGAGUGCGUAACAGCUCACUAGUCGAGUGACCCUGCGCCGAAAAUGUACCGGGGCUAAGCCUGAUACCGAAACUGCGGAUUGUAGGAAACUAUAGUGGUAGGGGAGCGUUGUAUACGAGUAGAAGCCGUACCGUGAGGAGCGGUGGAUUGUAUAGAAGUGAGAAUGCCGGUGUGAGUAGCGAGAUGUAGGUGAGAAUCCUACACACCGAAAGCCCAAGGAUUCCAGGGGAAGGUUCGUCCGCCCUGGGUAAGUCGGGACCUAACGCGAGGCCGAAAGGCGUAGUGGAUGGAAAGCAGGCGAAAGAUUCCUGCACCCGUAUAUGGAGCGAAGGAGUGACGGAGACGGAUAGUGUGACCCUCUUAAUGGAUUGAGGGCGAAGCGAAGCGGCUGGUUACCAGGCAAAUCCGGUAACCAUAAGGCUAGAGAGUGAUAGGUAAGCGAAAUCUUAGGAAAGUAGCGAAGCACAUGAUGACGGCUUCCAGGAAAAGCUUCUGGCAAUGCAUAUGCGGCCCGUACCAAAACCGACACAGGUGGGCAGGGAGAGAAUCCCGAGGUGAGCGAGAGAACUGUUGCCAAGGAACUCGGCAAAAUGACUCCGUAAGUUAGCGAGAAGGAGUGCUUAAGCAAUUAAGCCGCAGUGAAGAGGCCCAAGCGACUGUUUAACUAAAACACAGCUCUCUGCGAAGUCGCAAGACGAAGUAUAGGGGGUGACACCUGCCCGGUGCUGGAAGGUUAAGAGGAUCUGUUAAGAGCGAUCUGAAGCAGUGAUCCGAAGCCCCAGUGAACGGCGGCCGUAACUAUAACGGUCCUAAGGUAGCGAAAUUCCUUGUCAGGUAAGUUCUGACCCGCACGAAAGGCGUAAUGAUUUGGGCACUGUCU